rnacentral:rRNA from 1 species
UACAGAGGUCCCGAGCGUUGUUCGGAUUUAUUGGGCGUAAAGGGUGCGUAGGCGGCGGAGUAAGUUGGGUGUGAAAUCCCGAGGCUCAACCUCGGAAUUGCAUUCAAUACUGCUUCGCUCGAGUACUGGAGAGGAGGCUGGAAUUUACGGUGUAGCAGUGAAAUGCGUAGAUAUCGUAAGGAAGGCCGGUGGCGAACGCGAGCCUCUGGACAGUUACUGACGCUGAUGCCCGAAGGCCAGGGGAGCAAACGGG